rnacentral:rRNA from 1 species
AACGAACGCUGGCGGCGUGGAUAAGACAUGCAAGUCGAACGAUCACUAUUGGGUAGCAAUAUUCGGUAGUGGGAGUGGCGCAAGGGUGCGUAACACGUGGGUAAUUUGCCGUAAAGUCUGGGAUAACUUGCUGAAAGGCGAGCUAAUACCGGAUGUGAUUGCUGGAGGGCAUCCUCUGGCACUUAAAGUCGGGGACCGCAAGGCCUGACACUUUUCGAUAAGCCCGCGGCCUAUCAGCUAGUUGGUGAGGUAACGGCUCACCAAGGCUAAGACGGGUAGCUGGUCUGAGAGGACGACCAGCCUCACUGGAACUGAGACACGGUCCAGACACCUACGGGUGGCAGCAGUCGAGAAUUUUUCUCAAUGGGGGAAACCCUGAAGGAGCGACGCCGCGUGGGGGAUGAAUGGCUUCGGCCCGUAAACCCCUGUCAUUUGCGAUCAAACCUUACGACCUAACACGUCGUAAGCUGAUAGUAGCGGAAGAGGAAGGGACGGCUAACUCUGUGCCAGCAGCCGCGGUAAUACAGAGGUCCCAAGCGUUGUUCGGAUUCACUGGGCGUAAAGGGUGCGUAGGCGGUCGGGUAAGUCUGACGUGAAAUCUUCAAGCUCAACUUGGAAACUGCGUCGAAUACUAUUCGGCUAGAGGAAUGGAGGGGAGACUGGAAUACUUGGUGUAGCAGUGAAAUGCGUAGAUAUCAAGUGGAACACCAGUGGCGAAGGCGAGUCUCUGGACAUUUCCUGACGCUGAGGCACGAAAGCCAGGGGAGCAAACGGGAUUAGAUACCCCGGUAGUCCUGGCCCU